rnacentral:rRNA from 1 species
UUUUAUUUGAGAGUUUGAUCCUGGCUCAGGAUGAACGCUGGCGGCGUGCCUAACACAUGCAAGUUGAGCGAUUUACUUCGGUAAAGAGCGGCGGACGGGUGAGUAACGCGUGGGUAACCUACCCUGUACACACGGAUAACAUACCGAAAGGUAUGCUAAUACGGGAUAAUAUAUUUGAGAGGCAUCUCUUGAAUAUCAAAGGUGAGCCAGUACAGGAUGGACCCGCGUCUGAUUAGCUAGUUGGUAAGGUAACGGCUUACCAAGGCGACGAUCAGUAGCCGACCGGAGAGGGUGAUCGGCCACAUUGGAACUGAGACACGGUCCAAACUCCUACGGGAGGCAGCAGUGGGGAAUAUUGCACAAUGGGCGAAAGCCUGAUGCAGCAACGCCGCGUGAGUGAUGAAGGCCUUCGGGUCGUAAAACUCUGUCCUCAAGGAAGAUAAUGACGGUACUUGAGGAGGAAGCCCCGGCUAACUACGUGCCAGCAGCCGCGGUAAUACGUAGGGGGCUAGCGUUAUCCGGAUUUACUGGGCGUAAAGGG